rnacentral:rRNA from 1 species
GACAGAGGAUGCAAGCGUUAUCCGGAAUGAUUGGGCGUAAAGCGUCUGUAGAUGGCUCUUUAAGUCCGCCGUCAAAUCCCAGGGCUCAACCCUGGAAUGCCGGUGGAAACUGUCAAGCUUGAGUCCGGAAGAGGCGAGUGGAAUUCCUGGUGUAGCGGUGAAAUGCGCAGAUAUCAGGAGGAACACCAAUGGCGAAGGCAGCUCGCUGGGACGGUACUGACGCUGAGACGCGAAAGCGUGGGGAGCAAACAGG